UACGUAGGGGGCAAGCGUUGUCCGGAUUUAUUGGGCGUAAAGAGCGUGUAGGCGGUUUGGUAGGUCCGUUGUGAAAACUCGAGGCUCAACCUCGAGACGCCGAUGGAAACCAUCAGACUAGAGUCCGGAAGAGGAGAGUGGAAUUCCUGGUGUAAGCGGUGAAUGCGCAGAAUAUCAGGAAGACACCCGUGGCUAAGGCGGCGUCUCUAGUAAGCGGGUACCUGACG
rnacentral:rRNA from 1 species